rnacentral:misc_RNA from 1 species
GAAAUGCGAUAAGUAAUGUGAAUUGCAGAAUUCAGUGAAUCAUCGAAUCUUUGAACGCACCUUGCGCUCCUUGGUAUUCCUUGGAGCAUGCCUGUUUGAGUAUCAUGAAAUCUUCAAAGUAAAUCUUUUGUUAACUCAAUUGGUUUCUACUUUGGUAUUGGAGGUCUUUGCAGCCUCACACCUGCUCCUCUUUGUUCAUUAGCUGGAUCUCAGUGUUAUGCUUGGUUCCACUCGGCGUGAUAAGUUAUCUAUCGCUGAGGACACUGUAAAAGGUGGCCAAGGUAAAUGCAGAUGAACCGCUUCUAAUAGUCCAUUGACUUGGACAAUACUUUUAUGAUCUGAUCUCAAAUCAGGUAGGACUACCCGCUGAACUUAAGC